rnacentral:lncRNA from 1 species
ACCUACACCACAGCUCACGGCAACGCCGGAUCGUUAACCCACUGAGCAAGGGCAGGGACCGAACCCGCAACCUCAUGGUUCCUAGUCGGAUUCGUUAACCACUGCGCCACGACGGGAACUCCUCAUUUGCUAUUUUAAAACAGUACAAGGAAUAGGGCAGAAGAGGCCUGGUGGUCUGCUGGUGGGGAACUCAGAGCUGGUGGGGCCUUACCUCGCCGCCCCCCCAUCAUCUGUUUGUCCCAGUGGGAUGGGAACAGGGUCAUUUACAGAUCGAAGAUCACGACUAGGGAUGGCACACUGAGUGCUCACUUUUAUCUGUCUCUCCCAAAUUUCACUGAACGCCGAGAAGUCCACACGCGCUCUCAUGGCAAAAACAAAAGUGCAAGAAGAGUAAUGGUGAGUCACUUCCGUGAUAGGCGGUGGCAGGUGGGAUUGAGUGAGGAAGAAAAGAGAUCUGAGAAGAUAGAAGCUGCAGAGCUGCGGAGAAGGGGGCUGGGCUGGGAGGGAAGCUGCUGGAGGAACCAGAGCCCUGCAGGUUAUAGGAUCUUGGCUGAAGGGACCAGAGAAGGAUAUGGAAGGUGUGUGACAAUCCUAGCUCCAGGUGCAGUUUACAAGCCCCUCUGGGCACCCCGGGACUCCCAGCCAGGCCUCUGCACAUGGCGGUAUGGAGAGCCGAAUAUCACCCAAGAAGCAGUCCUGCCAAAAGUGUCCAACCCGGAUCUCACAGCAUCUGAAGCAGUGUUUCAACAGAAAUAUUUAUGA